UUUUAAAGUUAUAUUGAUACUUUUUUUCUGUUUCUUUUUUCAGAACAGUGUGGGCUUAUGAAGUAGAAUUUAUGGGUAUGUGAAUCUGGCAGAGACUUACAUGGAACCACUAGGGAAUAUUCUAAAACUUUUACUCUUUGGGCUGGCUACCUUUGGAGGAUGACUCUCAGGUCCAAAUUGCGAGGCCAGACAGGAAUGCUGGAUAGAGCUUAGCAAUGGCUGAAGUGAUGCUGGCUUAAGCCAGGACAACCUGGUUACUUUAGAAGGAAAUCUCACCACCACUGUCCUGCACUCUCGUCAAUUCAUUCUGAGACACAGUAGCAACACCCACAGGUGGAAGGCUGUGCCUCGGGGCUUUGCGCUCUUCAUCUCCUCUGCAAGUCAGGAAUAUUUAUUUUACUGGAUGGAAACAGAUUCAAAGAGAUGAGGUAACAAUUGAAUAGUAAUACUUGGAGACUUCAAUACACUGCUUUCAAUAAUGGAUAGAACAACCAGAUGGAAGAUCAGUAAGAAAAGAGAAGACGUGACCAAGUCUAUGGACUGACUAGACCUAACAGACAUCUAUAGAACACACCACCCAAGAGCGGCAGAACACACAUCCUUCCCAAGUGUACAUGGAACAUUCUCCAGAUAGACCCUAUGUAUAGAAGUCAAUAACAGAAAGAACUUUGGGAAAUUUACAAAUAUGUGAAAACUAACAGCAUACUACUAAACAACCAGUGAGUCAAAGAAGAAAUCACAAGGGAAAUUAGGAAAUACUUUGAGAUAAAUGAAAAGGGAAACACAACAUAGGAAAUCUUAUGGGAAGUAGGUAAAGCAGUGCUUAGAGGGAAAUGUAUAGCUAUGAAUGACUAUAUUACAAAGGAAGAGAGAUCCCAAAUCAAUAACCUAACCUUCCGCCUUAAAGCACUGGGGGAAAGAAAAAAGAACAAACUAAACCCAAAGCAAGCAGAAGGAAGGAAAUAAUAAAGAUUAGAGCAAACAUUAAUGCAAUAGAGAAUAGAGAAACAGUUGAGAAAAUCAACAGAACCAAAGGUUGGUAUGUUGAGAAGAUCAACAAAGCUGACAAACCUUUAGCUAGAAAGAGGUGAGGUGAUUUUCCCAAGGUGACUCCAAUAGCAAAUGGCAGAGCCAAGAUUCCAAAGUAGGACUGUCUGAUGUCAAAUCUGGGGUUUGUAGCUUUGUCUCCCACCUGGACUAGGAGUGUCUCGAGGAUCAGGAGCUUGUCUUACUCAUCUGUACAUCCCCAGUGCUUUGCUCUGUGCCUGGCACACGUAGGGGCUCAGGAAAUAUUUGCUGAAGUAAAAUGAAAAGUAAACCUCCUCCCCACCCUUAGCAACCAUCUGUGUGAGAUGAUAAAUUAUGCUUCCAAUGCAGAUCGAGCUGAAUUGCACUAUUUCUGAUGAGAAAAGCUGAAAACAGCAAACUGCUUGUCCUUAAAAAUAAACCCUUCAGCUUCAGAGAUUUGGCCCAGAAAUGAACCGUGUUAUAGCUCAAGCCCUGAGAUUGAGUUUAUUACCCUGGAGCCAGGGGUGAUGGAGUUUGUGACUGGAGAGAGAAACUCGAUCACCGUGACCUGGCCCCUGGAUGCACAGUGCAGGCUGGUCUGCCCUUGUUCCCCGUCCUGGGCCCCGGAGGCUGAACACCACUCACGGGAGGGUGACUCUUCUGGAAGCCCCCAAAGUGGAAUUGACCCUAAAUUGAAAAGAAGAUCUUUCUAGGGCAAGAGCUUUGUUCUUGUGAAUUUUCUGCCUCACCAACCAUGGGGAAUGUGAGCUGGGGGGGAAAAGUCUGUUAAAGCUGGUCAUUCAUUUCAGGGGGCCGAGGAGCUGUUCUGAAGGAGCAAAGUCUCCUCAUGCUCUUGGCCUUUUGAUCUACUCAGGUUCUGUGGCAGGAAGACAGGGAGGGAUCCCUGAUCACCCACAGCCCUCCCUGCUGCUGUGGAGGCAGCAUGAUGAUGCGGGGUGGAGC